rnacentral:rRNA from 1 species
AACGAACGCUGGCGGCAGGCUUAACACAUGCAAGUCGAACGCAUCCUUCGGGGUGAGUGGCAGACGGGUGAGUAACGCGUGGGAACGUGCCCUUCAGUUCGGGAUAACCCAGGGAAACUUGGGCUAAUACCGGAUACGUGCGAGAGCAGAAAGAUUUAUCGCUGAAGGAUCGGCCCGCGUCUGAUUAGCUAGUUGGUGGGGUAAUGGCCCACCAAGGCGACGAUCAGUAGCUGGUCUGAGAGGAUGAUCAGCCACAUUGGGACUGAGACACGGCCCAAACUCCUACGGGAGGCAGCAGUGGGGAAUAUUGGACAACGGGCGCAAGCCUGAUCCAGCCUUGCCGCGUGAGUGAUGAAGGCCUUAGGGUUGUAAAGCUCUUUCGUCCGGGACGAUAAUGACGGUACCGGAAGAAGAAGCCCCGGCUAACUUCGUGCCAGCAGCCGCCGUAA